rnacentral:rRNA from 1 species
CCUACGGGAGGCAGCAGUGAGGAAUAUUGGUCAAUGGGCGAGAGCCUGAACCAGCCAAGUCGCGUGAAGGAUGACGGCCCUACGGGUUGUAAACUUCUUUUGUCAGGGAGCAAUUGGGUCCACGCGUGGGCUUAGCGAGAGUACCUGAAGAAAAAGCAUCGGCUAACUCCGUGCCAGCAGCCGCGGUAAUACGGGGGAUGCGAGCGUUAUCCGGAUUUAUUGGGUUUAAAGGGUGCGUAGGCGGAAUAUCAAGUCAGCGGUAAAACUUCGGGGCUCAACCCCGUCGUGCCGUUGAAACUGAUGUUCUUGAGUGGGCGAGAAGUAUGCGGAAUGCGUGGUGUAGCGGUGAAAUGCAUAGAUAUCACGCAGAACGCCGAUUGCGAAGGCAGCAUACCGGCGCCCAACUGACGCUGAAGCACGAAAGCGUGGGUAUCGAACAGGAUUAGAUACCCGUGUAGUC